CCCUGCCUGCCCUUGCCACCCCUGGCUGGCAGUGCCCGUGCUGCUGGGGCCGGUGGUGGCUGCAGCCCCUCUGGCCGUGCUGCAGCCCCUGGCUUCCUUGGCGGCAGCCCCUCCUCUGGCCGUGCUGCAGCCCCCGGCUUCCAUCUCAGCCCCCAGUAGCCCCCAGCAGCCUCACCUACCAGCAGGGAGAUCACGGGCUGGCAGCCCAGAGCGGGCAGUGUGAGGGACGGGAGGAGAGCAGCCCCGGGAGGGAUCAGGGGCCGGUAGAUGUAGAUGAUGAAGAAGAGGAUAUAGAGAUAGUUGUUGUAUAGAUAGUUAGAGGGUAUGAUGAUAGUUGAUAGCGAUGUAGAUUAGUUGAUAGCGACGUAGAUUAGUUGAUAGUGACGUAGAUAGUGAGAUAGACAGCUGAUGGUGGUAUACAGGUAGUAAACAGAUAGCAGAGAGCAAGAUGGGUUAUUGGUAGAGAGGUGGUUUGUGAAUAGCAAGGUAGUUAGCAGCAAGCAAGAGUUAGUAGCAAUGUAGUUAGAUCAUAGCCAGAUAGCUGAUAGGGGGAUGCAGGAUAGAAAGAUGGGUGACUGGGAGAUAGUUAAUUUAUAGCCUGUGAUAUAAGAAGUUGCUAAAAAGAACUUAAUCUCUGUUUCAGAUGAGCCAUUGCGUCCUGGGACACCUCUCUCCCCGCCAGCAUGGGGUGAAGAGCAACACCUGAUGCUGCCCCAGCGCUGGCAGAAGAACAGCAGCUCUGCAGAGACCCGUCCUGCCAGCAGAGCAUCACGGAGAAGAAGACGCGCCUUCUGCUCACAGGAAGAACUGGACUGAAGAGGAGAGCGCCAGCUGACAGCGCCCGUCUGGUGUGAUGUGCCCAGAGAGAGACUCGUCCAGCAAGAGAUAGAGUAGAUAGGGAGCAUAGGGACCCAGUUAGCUCUAAAAUGUCUUAGUAGUGCAGUUGUAAGAAAGCUCUGUAAAUAAAUUGUAUGCCAUUGUUUUCAUAUCCUUACACUGUGUCCAAAACUGUGUUUGUUCGUAGCCCGAUAUGCCUAGAAAUAAAUGACAGAACAAUAAAUCUUUUCCUC
rnacentral:lncRNA from 1 species